rnacentral:rRNA from 1 species
UUUGAUGGCGACCGGCGCACGGGUGAGUAACACGUAUCCAACCUGCCGAUGACUCGGGGAUAGCCUUUCGAAAGAAAGAUUAAUACCCGAUGGCAUAGUUCUUCCGCAUGGUAGAACUAUUAAAGAAUUUCGGUCAUCGAUGGGGAUGCGUUUCAUUAGGUUGUUGGCGGGGUAACGGCCCACCAAGCCUUCGAUGGAUAGGGGUUCUGAGAGGAAGGUCCCCCACAUUGGAACUGAGACACGGUCCAAACUCCUACGGGAGGCAGCAUG